UACGUAGGGUGCGAGCGUUAAUCGGAAUUACUGGGCGUAAAGCGUGCGCAGGCGGUUCGUUAAGACAGGUGUGAAAUCCCCGGGCUCAACCUGGGAAUGGCGCUUGUGACUGGCGGGCUCAGAGUGCGGCAGAGGGGGGUGGAAUUCCAGGUGUAGCAGUGAAAUGCGUAGAGAUCUGGAGGAACACCGAUGGCGAAGGCAGCCCCCUGGGCCGACACUGACGCUCAUGCACGAAAGCGUGGGGAGCAAACAGG
rnacentral:rRNA from 1 species